GACAGAGACUACGAGCGUUAUCCGGAAUCAUUGGGCGUAAAGAGCUCGUAGGCGGUUCAGCAAGUCGGCUGUGAAAGUCCAAGGCUCAACCUUGGAAAUGCAGUCGAUACUGCUGUGACUAGAGUCUGGUAGAGGAGAAUGGAAUUCCCGGUGUAGCGGUGGAAUGCGCAGAUAUCGGGAGGAACACCAGUAGCGAAGGCGGUUCUCUGGGCCUCGACUGACGCUGAGGAGCGAAAGCAUGGGUAGCAAACAGG
rnacentral:misc_RNA from 1 species